CGUGAUAGGCACAGCCACCAGGGCGUGCAGAGCGGACAGCGACACGGGCUGUGUUCAGCACCACGGACAGCGACACGGGCUGUGUUCAGCACCACGGACAGCGACACGACUGCGUUCAGCACCACGGGCAGAGAGUCUCUCGCACGGCCCUCGAAGCCUCGCGUCUCGCCGGCUACGUCAUCGCUCCUGUCCGAGUCGCCGUGACACGAAGGCGUCGGCGUCGUUCCCCCCCCCCCCACAUGGCCUUUGUUAGCCGCGGGAAAGACCUUGAAUUGAGUUGGACAUUAGUGGCAUUUUAUAUACGCGGGGUUAUGGACCAAUAAACGGAGAGCGGAGUAUCCGAGGGAGGAGGAGUGAAUCUGCGUACGUAAUAACCACUGCCAUCAUCAUCCUAUCCAAGGACGUACAAAAAAAUUAGAAUAUUGAGAGGAUAAGCACAAUUUUGGUCAUUAGCGCCGUCAUUCUCUAUCUGGGCAAUAUUGAUUCACGUUAUAGUCGUGGGGGUUUUUUUCUCUCUCUUUUUUUUUCUCUCUCACACACACACACACACAAUGUCCUUCACUUGACCACUGGGACGCUCAUCCCCAGGAGGAACAUUCGGGGGCUUGGUAAUUACACACGCAGUCUAUCUACUACUACUACACAGCACGCACGCACACGCGCACACACGCACACACACGCUGAGGUUUAUCCAUCUGUACUGCGGCAGCCACCACCACGCGCUGCUAUUGGGAUAUAUACGGGGGGGGGGGGUGGGUGCCAGCAGCUACGCGUGAAUGGCCGUGAUUAUUGUGUCUGUGUACUCCAUUCUUCAUCGCGACAGCAAAAAUAGUGAUGGGAUGAAUAUGAUCUGAGCCACUUAACGGAAUGGGGGUUGUGCCACGCGUGGAGGGCUUCGGCGCAGCGGGGCGCGUCAUGGAGCCGUCGCGCGUGCAGAAGCUGAUUGCGAUUCCUGAACACCGCCACCAGCACAAGUGACGAUCAUCUGCACCGGCCCUAGGCCUCCCCUGGUGCAGUGUGUAAACAUCGCCACGAGGAAGACAAAGGCGGUCGGGAGUGGUUCUGGCCUCUCACCCCCCCCCCCCAUCUCGCGUGCCUUUGUAGCUUGGUGCUGCUGCUGUGUGAAUCGUCGUGCCAGGUGGCGACGGUUCCGGGAGGGCUUUCAUCCAGCAGUGGAUUUGACCAUGGCCGAUGCUGCCUAUGAUGAUGAAGAUGAUGCUGAGAAUGGAACGUUUAUUGGGAGUUUCAAUGAACUGUAACUCACAACUCGCAAUCGUGAUAGUAAUGCCAGUGUCCUUUAAUCGGAAUGCCCGUUACCAGCCAAUGUUCACGACCCUCACGCUCUCUGUGAGCCGCGUCUUUUGUCCAAGACAUUGAGCUAUGUCCAUGAUAUCUACUCAAGAACUGUUGCAUUCGAUACUGACUCACAGUUGUAUCCAACCAGUGGCGUCGUCGUCGCUACGUCAUCAGCUCAGGUGGUGUGGCAAUCGGUCAGGUGCCGCCCCCCCCACCCCCCAAUAUUUGAUUCCUCUCGCACGGUGGCACUUAUAGGCUUAUUAUUAUUAUUUUACAUUGCGUCUCUUCUUGCCUAAUCGCAUCGCUAUACACGAUUGUUGUUAUUUUACACUGCUGGUGAAUACAUCAUCGCGUCGUGGUUGUCAAGGGGGGCGCCAGCUCAUAGCUUUGGCCACCAGGGAGAAGGGGGUGGGGGGGGGGGCAAGGCACCCCCUGCCUGCCCCCCACGCUCGUUACGCCACCACUGCAUCCCACCGUUCAAAUCGCUUCUGGGAAAACUUAAGCCGCUGCCUUCCGCAGGACACCUCCUAGAAUGUCCCCGGUCACAGCCACACUCACGGCAGAGCCUCUUUGUUUUCUCAUUACAAGUCCACGAAAUAUAAUCCUACCCUCCUCCCCCAGUGAUUCUUAUUUAUGUUACCGUACUUACACCCCCCCACCACCACCCCCGCUAUAUCCGUAAUGCCUCUCUGUUUCUCAGCCAGCGUCUGUCUACGAACCUCUUCAACAAUAACACUGCCCUCCUAACAAGG